AACGAACGCUGGCGGCAUGCCUAACACAUGCAAGUCGAACGAGACCUUCGGGUCUAGUGGCGCACGGGUGCGUAACGCGUGGGAACCUGCCCUUAGGUUCGGAAUAACUCCCCGAAAGGGGUGCUAAUACCGGAUAAUGUCUUCGGACCAAAGAUUUAUUGCCUUUGGUUGGGCCCGCGUGGGAUUAGCUAGUUGGUAGGGUAAAAGCCUACCAAGGCGACGAUCCAUAGCUGGUUUGAGAGGAUGAUCAGCCACACUGGGACUGAGACACGGCCGAGACUCCUACGGGAGGCAGCAGUGGGGAAUAUUGGAAAAUGGGCGAAAGGCUGAUCCAGCAAUGCCGCGUGAGUGAUGAAGGCCGUAGGGUUGUAAAGCUCUUUUAACCGGGAUGAUAAUGACAGUACCGGGAGAAUAAGCUCCGGCUAACUACGUG
rnacentral:rRNA from 1 species